AUUGAACGCUGGCGGCAGGCUUAAUACAUGCAAGUCGAACGAGUGGCGGAAGGGAGAGUAAUGCUUGGGAAUCUAGAUUAUGGAGGGGGAUCACUACGGGCAACUGUUGCUACUACUGCGCACCAUAGGCUGAGCACAAGUGGGAUUAGGUAGGUGGUGAGGUAAAGGCUCACCAAGCCGACGAUCUCUAGCUGGUCUGAGAGGAUGAACAGCCAAACGGGGACUUAGGCACGGCCCAGACGCCUGCGGGAGGCAGGAGUGGGGAGUAUUGCGCAAAGGGAGCAAUUUGACUGGGCCAGGCGGGGUGCAUUAAGAAGUCCUUCGGUUUGUAAAGUUCUUUCGGUACCGAAGCGUUAGCUACUGAAUAAGCACCGGCUAACUCCGUGCCAGCAGCCGCGGUAAUUC
rnacentral:rRNA from 1 species